UACGGAGGGGGCUAGCGUUGUUCGGAAUUACUGGGCGUGAAGCGCGCGCAGGCGGUCUUCCAAGUCAGUGGUGAAAGCCCGGAGCUCAACUCCGGAACUGCCAUUGAAACUGUAAGACUUGAGGACGAGAGAGGUGAGUGGAAUUCCCAGUGUAGAGGUGAAAUUCGUAGAUAUUGGGAAGAACACCAGUGGCGAAGGCGGCUCACUGGCUCGUAUCUGACGCUCAGGCGCGACAGCGUGGGGAUCAAACAGG
rnacentral:rRNA from 1 species